UAGGCUAGAAGGGCACAUCCUUUGUACCUUCGUUUCUCUAACAUGAAGAGAAUGCUGACCUACGGUGAGCAGGAUUUGGUGUGCUAAAUGUACUGAGUGUGCGUGUGCCUAAUUCUGCUAUGAAAUGUAUCAGAGAAGUAUAAAUUCUGCCCUGAAAUUCAGAAACUUAGUUGUAUAAGAACAAAGUGGAGAAGAUUUAGUUUAACAGUGGUUCAUGUGAAAAGUUCUUUCCAGAAAGAAAAUCAUAGCCAUAUGACCAACAAGAGGCUGCAUUGAUCACUGAGAAAACCCAAAAAGUUAAACUCCAGAGGAGAAAAAGUAUUGUUGAAGGCAAGCAAACAGAGAGAAGUUAUGAGUGGCUGUGGAGUUGGAUUGGACAACAGGGGAAGGAAGUAAAAUGUGGUUAGAAGUGUAUCCUUUCUGUCUGUUUGCAAAAGUAACUGUAGUAAAGUGAAGGAUAUUGCCCAAGAAAGAAGGAAGACUAUUUUCUUUCCCUUUUCCAGAAA